rnacentral:rRNA from 1 species
GCUUGAGAAAAGAAUCUCAGUCCAGCUUAAAGUCACUAUAAUACCAUUAAAUAAAACUUUGACUUUAAAGUAAUUCAAAUAGGGUACAGCCUAUUUGAACUAGGAUACAACCUUAACUAACGGGUAAUCUGUCUUGUAAUAAACCAAGUGGGCCUAAAAGCAGCCACCUUAAAAAAGCGUCAAAGCUUAAUCUAAUUUAUUUUUAAUAACCCAACCCAUAUCCACCCCUUUAACUCUAUCAAGCAUCUCUAUAAAACUAUAGAGCUUUUUAUGUUAAAACUAGUAACAAGAAGUAGCCCUUCUCUUUAAUGUAAGCAUAACUCAGUAAGGACCCACUACUGACAAUUAAUAGACCUACUACAGUAAUAACCCCACUAGAAAAAUUUACUUCUCACCCUAUUAACCUCACUCAAGCACAUUUCAAGAAAGAUUUAAAGAUAAAGAAGGAACUCGGCAAACACCAGCCCCGCCUGUUUACCAAAAACAUCGCCUCUUGUUCAACAUAAGAGGUCCAGCCUGCCCAGUGACUCCCUCUGUUUAACGGCCGCGGUAUCCUAACCGUGCAAAGGUAGCGUAAUCACUUGUUUUUUAAUUAAAGACUCGUAUGAAAGGCACCACGAGGGCCAAACUGUCUCCUUUUUCCAAUCAGUGAAACUAAUCUCCCCGUGAAGAAGCGGGGAUUUUCUUACAAGACGAGAAGACCCUAUGGAGCUUUAAAUUUUACAACACCUGCAUUUACCCAUCCCCAUUUCCGAAAACUACCUCCCUUGCACCCUGUUUGUAAAUUUUUCGGUUGGGGCGACCCCGGAGAAUAACAUACCCUCCGCAAUGAAAAGAUCUUAUCUUUAGUAAAAAGCUACAGCUUCACACAUCAGUUCAACUGACAUACAUUGACCCAAAAUUUUGAUCAACGAACUAAGUUACCCUAGGGAUAACAGCGCUAUCUACUUUGAGAGCUCUUAUCGACAAGUGGGCUUACGACCUCGAUGUUGGAUCAGGGUAUCCUAGUGGUGCAGCCGCUUCUAAAGGUUCGUUUGUUCAACGAUUAAAACCCU